rnacentral:pre_miRNA from 1 species
GGUGGGGGGAAAUGCUCCCUCAGCCUGGAUUGUGAGAGGGUGCAGGCCAAGCUGAGGGACCCCACUGAUGCACA